CCUACGGGAGGCAGCAGUGAGGAAUAUUGGUCAAUGGGCGGAAGCCUGAACCAGCCAAGUCGCGUGAGGGAAUAAGGCCCUACGGGUCGUAAACCUCUUUUGCCGGGGAGCAAGGGCGGGGACGUGUCCCGGCCCGGAGAGUACCCGGAGAAAAAGCAUCGGCUAACUCCGUUCCAGCAGCCGCGGUAAUACGGAGGAUGCGAGCGUUAUCCGGAUUUAUUGGGUUUAAGGGGUGCGUAGGCGGGCUUUUAAGUCAGCGGUAAAAAUUCGGGGCUCAACCCCGUCCGGCCGUUGAAACUGGGGGCCGUGAGUGGGCGAGAAGAAGGCGGAAUGCGUGGUGUAGCGGUGAAAUGCAUAGAUAUCACGCAGAACCCCGAUUGCGAAGGCAGCCUUCCGGCGCCCUACUGACGCUGAGGCACGAAAGUGCGGGGAUCGAACAGGAUUAGUACCCCGAGUAGUC
rnacentral:rRNA from 1 species